rnacentral:tRNA from 2 species
GAGGUCUUAAUUUAAUAAAAAUGUCUGAGUUGCAUUCAGGAAAUGCGAGUGUUAUCUUGCAGAUCUUA